AGAGUUUGAUCAUGGCUCAGAUUGAACGCUGGCGGAAUGCUUUACACAUGCAAGUCGAACGGUAGAGGGGGCAACCCCUCGAGAGUGGCGAACGGGUGAGUAAUAUAUCGGAACGUGCCCAGUCGUGGGGGAUAACGUAGCGAAAGUUACGCUAAUACCGCAUACGAUCUACGGAUGAAAGCGGGGGACUCGCAAGAGCCUCGCGCGAUUGGAGCGGCCGAUAUCAGAUUAGGUAGUUGGUGGGGUAAAGGCUCACCAAGCCAACGAUCUGUAGCUGGUCUGAGAGGACGACCAGCCACACUGGAACUGAGACACGGUCCAGACUCCUACGGGAGGCAGCAGUGGGGAAUUUUGGACAAUGGACGCAAGUCUGAUCCAGCCAUUCCGCGUGCAGGAUGAAGGCCCUCGGGUUGUAAACUGCUUUUGUACGGAACGAAAAGGUUUCUAUUAAUACUAGGAGCUCAUGACGGUACCGUAAGAAUAAGCACCGGCUAACUACGUGCCAGCAGCCGCGGUAAUACGUAGGGUGCAAGCGUUAAUCGGAAUUACUGGGCGUAAAGCGUGCGCAGGCGGUUAUGUAAGACAGAGGUGAAAUCCCCGGGCUCAACCUGGGAACUGCCUUUGUGACUGCAUAGCUAGAGUACGGUAGAGGGGGAUGGAAUUCCGCGUGUAGCAGUGAAAUGCGUAGAUAUGCGGAGGAACACCGAUGGCGAAGGCAAUCCCCUGGACCUGUACUGACGCUCAUGCACGAAAGCGUGGGGAGCAAACAGGAUUAGAUACCCUGGUAGUCCACGCCCUAAACGAUGUCAACUGGUUGUUGGGUCUU
rnacentral:rRNA from 1 species